AGGAUAAACGCUGGCGGCGUGCAUGAGACAUGUAAGUCGAACGAGUCUUCGGGCUUGCCUGAAGGCUAGUGGCGGACGGCUGAGUAACGCGUAGGUGACCUGCCCCGAAGUGGGGAAUAACUGCCCGAAAGGGUGGCUAAUACCGCAUGUGGUCGCAUGUUCGUUCGUGCGACUAAAGCCGAAAGGCGCUUCGGGAGGGGCCUGCGUCCGAUUAGCUCGUUGGUGGGGUAAUGGCUCACCAAGGCGACGAUCGGUAGGUGGUCUGAGAGGACGAUCACCCAGACUGGGACUGAGACACGGCCCAGACUCCUACGGGAGGCAGCAGUCGGGAAUUUUGCACAAUGGGCGAAAGCCUGAUGCAGCAACGCCGCGUGAGGGAUGAAGGCCUUCGGGUUGUAAACCUCUUUUCUCAGGGACGAUAAUGACGGUACCUGAGGAAUAAGCCACGGCUAACUACGUGCCAGCAGCCGCGGUAAUACGUAGGUGGCAAGCGUUGUCCGGAUUUACUGGGCGUAAAGAGCGCGCAGGCGGUCGUUCAAGUCGAAUGUGAAAGCCCCCGGCUUAACUGGGGAGGGUCAUUCGAUACUGAUCGACUUGAAGGCGGGAGAGGGAAGCGGAAUUCCCGGUGUAGUGGUGAAAUGCGUAGAUAUCGGGAGGAACACCAGUGGCGAAGGCGGCUUCCUGGUCCGUUCUUGACGCUGAGGCGCGAAAGCCAGGGGAGCAAACGGGAUUAGAUACCCCGGUAGUCCUGGCUGUAAACGAUGGACACUAGGUGUUGGUGGUAUCAACCCCGCCAGUGCCGUAGCUAACGCAUUAAGUGUCCCGCCUGAGGAGUACGGCCGCAAGGCUAAA
rnacentral:rRNA from 1 species